AAGGAAGACACAAAAUCAAAAUCAGAAAAGUGGAAAUAUGUUGAGAUUUUAUAGACAUAAAUACUUUUAUCUCAUUGACAAACUUGAGAUUUUAUUUGAUGAUUGAUAAGAAAAUCAACACCAAAUGAACCGUCACCCUCUAAACACGUCAUUACCAAACAUCAAGUAAACAAACGCCGCUCAGCGCCGCCCUCUAAAGGCGUCAUUAACAACCAUCAAAUAAACAAACGUCGCUCAGCUCCGCCCUCUAAAGGCGUCAUUAACAACCAUCAAAUAAACAAACGUCGCUCAGCGCCGCCCUCUAAAGACGUCAUUAACAACCAUCAAACAAACAUCGCUCAGCACCGCCCUCUAAAGGCGUCAUUAACAACCAUCAAAUUAACAAACGCCACUCAGCGCCGCCCUCUAAAGACGUCAUUAACAAACAUCAAAUAAACAAACGUCACUCAGCGCCGCCCUCUAAAGACGUCAUUAACAACCAUCAAAUAAACGUCACUCAGCGCCGCCCUCUAAAGGCGUCAUUAACAACCAUCAAAUAAACAAACAUCGCUCAGCUCCGCCCUCUAAAGGCGUCAUUAACAACCAUCAAAUAAACAAACAUCGCUCAGCUCCGCCCUCUAAAGACGUCAUUAACAAACAUCAAAUAAACAAACGCCGCUCAGCACCGCCCUCUAAAGGCGUCAUUAACAACCAUCAAAUAAACAAACGCCGCUCAGCUCCGCCCUCUAAAGACGUCAUUAACAACCAUCAAAUAAACAAACGCCGCUCAGCUCCGCCCUCUAAAGACGUCAUUAACAACCAUCAAAUAAACAAACAUCACUCAGCUCCGCCCUCUAAAGACGUCAUUAACAACCAUCAAAUAAACAAACAUCGCUCAGCUCCGCCCUCUAAAGACGUCAUUAACAAACAUCAAAUAAACAAACAUCGCUCAGCUCCGCCCUCUAAAGACGUCAUUAACAAACAUCAAAUAAACAAACGUCACUCAGCGCUGCCCUCUAAAGGCGUCAUUAACAACCAUCAAAUAAACAAAUGCCGCUCAGCGCCGCCCUCUAAAGACGUCAUUAACAACCAUCAAAUAAACAAACGCCGCUCAGCUCCGCCCUCUAAAGACGUCAUUAACAACCAUCAAAUAAACAAACGCCGCUCAGCUCCGCCCUCUAAAGACGUCAUUAACAACCAUCAAAUAAACAAACAUCACUCAGCUCCGCCCUCUAAAGGCGUCAUUAACAACCAUCAAAUAAACAAACAUCGCUCAGCUCCGCCCUCUAAAGACGUCAUUAACAAACAUCAAAUAAACAAACGUCACUCAGCGCUGCCCUCUAAAGGCGUCAUUAACAACCAUCAAAUAAACAAAUGCCGCUCAGCGCCGCCCUCUAAAGACGUCAUUAACAACCAUCAAAUAAACAAACGCCGCUCAGCUCCGCCCUAUAAAGGCGUCAUUAACAACCAUCAAAUAAACAAACAUCGCUCAGCUCCACCCUCUAAAGGCGUCAUUAACAAACAUCAAAUAAACAAACGCCGCUCAGCUCCGCCCUCUAAAGGCGUCAUUAACAACCAUCAAAUAAACAAACAUCGCUCAGCUCCACCCUCUAAAGACGUCAUUAACAAACAUCAAAUAAACAAACGUCACUCAGCUCCACCCUCUAAAGACGUCAUUAACAAACAUCAAAUAAACAAACGUCGCUCAGCUCCGCCCUCUAAAGGCGUCAUUAACAAACAUCAAAUAAACAAACGUCGCUCAGCUCCACCCUCUAAAGGCGUCGUUAACAAACAUCAAAUAAACAAACGUCGCUCAGCUCCGCCCUCUAAAGACGCCAUUAACAACCAUCAAAUAAACAAACGUCGCUCAGCUCCGCCCUCUAAAUACGUCAUUAACAACCAUCAAAUAAACAAACGUCACUCAGCGCUGCCCUCUAAAGACGUCAUUAACAAACAUCAAAUAAACAAACGUCGCUCAGCUCCGCCCUCUAAAGGCGUCAUUAACAAACAUCAAAUAAACAAACGUCGCUCAGCUCCACCCUCUAAAGGCGUCAUUAACAAACAUCAAAUAAACAAACGUCGCUCAGCUCCGCCCUCUAAAGACGCCAUUAACAACCAUCAAAUAAACAAACGUCGCUCAGCUCCGCCCUCUAAAUACGUCAUUAACAACCAUCAAAUAAACAAACGUCACUCAGCGCUGCCCUCUAAAGGCGUCAUUAACAACCAUCAAAUAAACAAACGUCGCUCAGCGUCGCCCUCUAAAGACGUCAUUAAAAACCAUCAAAUAAACAAACGUCGCUCAGCGCCGCCCUCUAAAGACGUCAUUAACAAACAUCAAAUAAACAAACACCGCUCAGCUCCGCCCUCUAUAGACGUCAUUAACAACCAUCAAAUAAACAAACACCGCUCAGCUCCGCCCUCUAAAGACGUCAUUAACAACCAUCAAAUAAACAAACACCGCUCAGCUCCGCCCUCUAUAGACGUCAUUAACAACCAUCAAAUAAACAAACACCGCUCAGCUCCGCCCUCUAAAGACGUCAUUAACAACCAUCAAAUAAACAAACGUCGCUCAGCGCCGCCCUCUAAAGGCGUCAUUAACAACAGUUCAUCAUAACAUGACAUCACAACUAGAACAUCUCGGAGUUUCUUCACUGUCAGUGCAUUUACAAUGGAGAACGUCUGUACUUUUACUCCAGUAACAGAGUAACCCAGCAGCUCUGAUUCUGAAUCAUCUUCUU
ensembl:lncRNA